UACAGAGGAGCCAAGCGUUGUCCGGAUUGACUGGGCGUAAAGCGCACGCAGGCGGACGCGCGCGUGGGGUGUGAAAUCUGGCCGCUUAACGGCCAGGCGCCAUCCCAUACGGCGCGUCUGGAGUGAUGCAGAGGUCGGUGGAAUUGCCGGUGUAGUGGUGAAAUGCGUAGAAAUCGGCAGGAACACCCAGGGGGAAACCAGGCCAGACUGGG
rnacentral:rRNA from 1 species